UUCUGCCAGGCCAGUCUUGCCCAUGGAGCGGGGGCACUGUGGUCACCCUCCUCAGGGAACUCUUUGGGAGCUGAAGAGCAGUUUGGGGCCCGGAGAACUUUCCAGAGCACCACCAGGUCACCUGUAGCUUCCAGAAAGGUCUCUUCCCUCAUCCUGCCAGGUGCCAAAGAGAAACAGCCUUAGUGGUCUCCCCGAGGGCAAAGGCAAGAACCCACAUCCUCUCUGUGUGUGGACAAUGGCUGUUUUCCCAGCAGGUGUAGGUUGUCUAGGACGAUGCCAGACAAGAGGAGACUUUUCUGCUUCUCUCCAUCUCGCCCCCCAUGUGAUGAGGAUGAGCUCUGUGAAGAGAGUCCUUUGGCUUGACGAGUCUGACAUGGUCCUGAAGCUGGCCAAGGGAACUUUCAGGUUUCCUUCUGCCGUCCUACACGUUUGAGAACUUCUCUGCCUCUGGCUCAGCUCAGACCUCAGUCUGCAGAGUCUCCUAGGGCCUGGAAACCCCAUCCCCCUGCUCCCAGAGCAGCAAUCCCUACUUUUCUACAAUGCACCUUGCUGUGUGUCCCCCCUAGUGACGCACACUGUGUGUUUGGUCCUGAGCUACUGCGGGCGAAGUUUCUUUUGAUCCUAGACUGACCUUACUUGAUGUGACCUUGGUCACAGAGUCAUGCCUUUCCUUACACGCCUCUCUGAAGCCAGAUGCCCAGACUGGCUCCUGCUGGACUAGCCAGGCCAACCCGAGGAGGAGCCUGCACCAGCUGCCAGCUUAUGGAACCAGAGCCCACUGGGGGGGCCAUAAAAGCCUAGCGUCCAGUGGGUAAGGUGAUGCAUGAACUGGCCGAAGUCUUUGGGUCUCAAUGCCAUGACCAGAAUCCAGGGCCUGAGUAUUUCAGGAAGGCCUGGCCUGGCUCCACAUACCAUGCUAUUUAUUUACUCCGUGGGAUUACUGUGGACAAUGGCCAUCCUCGGUGGCGCCUCCCAUCCCGAGGUCCUAUUUUGAGAAGGAAUUUGUUGAAGAUGGCCGUCUGGCUACCGACCCAGAGAUCCAGGAGGUCGUUUAUGUAUCCCAUACCAGUUGCUUAGCAGCGCCCAGUUCAAUGGAGGAAACUGGAGACAUAAAUAUGAACACAGCUGACACAGGCUUCUACAUCUCCAGGCCAGGAACUGCACUGUGUGCUUUGCGUAAUACACAGCUAUCAAGGCAAGCCUUUUCUUGUCAACGCUACAUAGGAGGAAACUGAGGCACAGAACGUACCGAGAACUUUCUAAAGAUACCUAAGGAGGAUGUGGUGGGGUCUGGUCUUGGGAGCAAGGCCUGAGAUCUAAGUUCCCUCCUUAGCCUUGGAUCCAACAAGCGGUGGUGUUCAGUCUGGGCGAGCCUCCAGGAGGAUGAGACUCAGCUGCUGUUCUUUGGCAACUCAGGGCUGCGGCGUUGGUGAGGAGAGAUGUACAUGGUGGAACUUCAUGCACGCCGUCACCCAAAACUGCUUACUAUGUACCAGGCCCUGUCCCAGCUACUUUGCUUACCUUCCCUGCUGCUGGGACCUUUCCAGUAGCCCUGCAACCAUCGUCCCCAGUGCAGAUGGGGUGGACUAGCCACUCAUCUCUGGUCUCGGUGUCCCUGAAUGGCAGAGCAGGGAUGGGAGGCCAAGACCCCAGUUCCAGGUCUACACCCUGCCUUACUGUUGUCACUCAGGGGAAGGGAUCCACCUACACUGGCCCCAAGGAGAGCCGGAUUGCCCAGGUGUUGCUAGGCUGCCCACGCUUGCAAGACCGGAUAAUGGUGACUGAACUGCUCUGGGGUUGCUGUGUCUGAAAGGAAAAGAUGGAGGACAAGUUCUUUUCGCCCCAGCCCUUGGAUCCGGUUUCUGUCUACAGAGAGUACGCUUCUUUGGUGAACCAAGAACUUCCCUUGGGAGGCACACAGCAGAGAAUACAGUACGAUAACGACUGUAGGAGUGAGGGACUGUAGGAGUGUAGGAGAAACUGCGGCCAGCCUACCCAAGCCGCUAUUGCCCUGUCCCUGGUGCCUAGGUCAGCCUGCAUGAGCACGCGCAUGCGCGGCAGGCAUCUCCUUCCUGAGCCAAGCUGCCAGCUGCCUCAACGCCCAGUGACUGUUGACAGAGAGACACCUGACCCAGAGACACCAAUGAGGAAAGCAGAACGCAGCGGAGUCAGCCGCCUGAGCCAAUAGCACCUUGGGAGGGGGUAUAAAGCCAGGUCUAACUUAGUUAAUAAACGAGUCUGCGGAAUGCUCUGCUACUCACUGACUCCCAGUGCCUGAGUCGUUGGUGCUGCGUCUUCUCACCCCCUCCCCCAAGGGGUGUCCGAGCAGGGUCACCCGCAACAGGACUGGGUUUAGACGGACUGCAUUGGGAAGCGGAAGCGGGCGGACAGGGAAGCCAGAUGGGUGGGAUUGAAGCGCCUCCCUGCUUUGAUGAUAACCGGGGCCACAGAAAACAGACACAGAGUGUGGUACAGGAUCGCAUCCCAUAUACACGGGGGACAUCCAAUUGGAGUGCAGGACUCCAAUCAAGAAGCACUUGGCCGGCUGACCUGUAACAGGAUCUCCAAACAAGACCCCAACUUGGUAGCCCCUGCAUCCUACCCGUCUCCAUCUCAGGGAGUGGAGCUCCUGGAGGAAAGAAAAAGGUACACCCACUUCCCACAAACCCAGAAAGAGAUGAGUACAGCUGAGGUACUGCUGCCUGCCACUUGUGUCUUGGGCUCCAUGUAAAGUCUAAAUAUAUACUUUGGAAAUUGAAAGAAAAAGGCUCACGUAUAGAAUGUGGCUGGUGGAGGCAUGGCUCUCUUUGAACUUGUCUCUUUAAAGACACAACUGGAAGCGUGCUUUUCCUACCCUCGAGGAGAUACUCGAGCAUGGCAGCAGAUGAGGGAUGGAAAUUAA